GCGACAGACAGCAGCAGAGGCAGAGAAAGAACUAAAAGCCUCACAGCUAAUGUUUCUGGAGAGGAGCCCAGCUUCACACCAGGCUCUCAGAGGAACAGAAGCCCACUGUUAAGCUCCUGCGGGACUGUCGAGAGGCUCCGGAAAUAACUCUUCGGAGGCUCUGAAACCUCAGGGCCAUGAGGACCUUCACAAGGGCUGACACUGGUGAGACUGAUACUGGACUACCCGUCCAGUUCUCGUGGCCACAUUUUAAAAAGAAUGUUGAAAACUGGAGAAAGUGAAGACAAGAGCCACAAAAAUUAUUUGAGGCCUGGAAAAAAUGCCUCAAUCUAUUUAGUUUAUCAAAAAGUAGAUCAAAAGGAUGAAUAUGUUAAAACCAGAAGGGACCACUGUGAUCCUCCGAUCUGCCCUCAUGUAUUAACACAGACCAUAGAAUCUACCACAGCCUGAUUUGCUGGGCUGGAACACGUCCAGUCUGUUGUACUGACUGCUGCUGGUUUAUAGAUUCACAGAUUCCAAGGCCAGAAGGGACCACUGUGAUCAUCUCGUCUGACCUCCUCUACAGCCCAGCCCACAGAACUUCCCCAAAAUAAUUCCUAGAGCAGCUUGUUUAGGAAAACAUCUAAAGAUUGAUUUUAAAAUUGGCAAUGAUUGAGAAUCCACUGCAUCCCUUGGUAAAUUGUCCCAAAGGUUAAUUACCCUGACUGUUAAAAGUUUGCCCCUUAUUUCUAGUCUGAAUUUGUCUAGCUUCAACUUCCAGCCAUUGGCUCUUGUUACAUCUUUGUCUGCUAGAUUGAAGAGUCCUAUAUUAUCAAAUGUCUGUUCCCCAUGUAGGUACUUAUAGACUGUGAUCGAAUCACCCCUCAACCUUCUCUUUAAUAGGCUAAAUGCCUUGAAUUUUUCAUAUAAAUCCCCCCUUUCGAUGGUACACUCUUUGCACUGAUAAACUGUUUCCUGGCCCUUGCAUGUUUCUCUCAAUCCAUCUUUGUUAUUUGAAACAAAUUGCUAUUUAAGCCACAAUGGCCAGUUAAAAUUCAACAUAAAUCCACUUCCCUUCUUCUCGUCGGGUCGUGAAGUCUAUAAGUAUUUUUGACUCUUGGGUGUUUUUCAUGGACUUUUCCCCCUUUCUUUCUGUUGCCCGUAUUUCUUGCCAUUCCUCUCUUAACUCGUUUGUAAUUAGAUUUUUAGACUCCAGUUUACU